CAAAAAUAAAUAAAAUAAAUUUAUUUUUUUUUAAAGUAAUUAUUAGGGGGAACAUGCAUAAUUCAAACGGAAGGACUCAUAAAGAGGGCACUUCCAGCCACAGUCAGGAAGGCAUGUGGCAGCGCCCCCCAGGAGCCCCAUCCUUUCCGCACACACGGUUGCUGGAUGUCCAGUCUCAGAGGCCAGGGCUGUGGACAAAGGCGGCUCUCCCCCUCUCUCCUUCUCUCUUUCUCUGUAAAGUAGCUAAACUUCCUCAGUACUGAUUACUCAACAAAGAAGAUAGAAACUGCAUUUUUUGAAGACCAAAACCUGGCCCAUAGGUGUCCCUGUUGGGUUUGAUCUUGUUUCCCUUCUUAAAUGUAAGAUUUCCCUUGAAGGAAGGGGGGCGUUUGGCCUCCAAGGCUAAGCUAAGGAAGAAAUCUUCAACAAACAAAGGAUGCCGCUCGCUAUCAAGCCCUCAGCCCCUGCAGCCAGCCCCAACGGUGCACCCCGAGAGCUCUCAGGAUGGGACAGAACAGGAUACCUGUCCUCAGCAGCUGAGGUACAUAUCAAAGAAAUGAUCUCAAUGAGCCCAGACUCUUGCAUCUGCCCAUACAGAGAAAAGCACUACAUUCAUUAACUUGAGAUGUCUGGUUUUCUUUAAUUAACUGCAAUUAACAGACGUUCUGACUCCCUGGUCUUUGUUGCAAAAACCCCUAUAUAUCCUGGCUCCGCCCUGACCUCUUUGGAGCUAUCCCUCCAGCUAUCUGAGAGGGUGUCUCCCAGGCCUAAGUUCUCAGCAAGUCCACCAAAUAAAACAUAAUUCUCACCUUUUAGGUUGUGCAGUUUCUACCUGUGGACACUUCCUUUUUCUCAGAGUUUCUGCAGAAUGUUUUCUCCAGGAAGACUUCACAGGAGACUGGUGUGAGCCAGCGUUGAAGGCAGCGUGAUCAACGAUAAAGGAAGGGGAAGCAGAGCUCCGGACAGGAGAGUCCACUGUGCCUACAGCCAAGGACCCCAAGCCCCCUGAAUGCCGUGCUGCCAUUGGAAGAAUGACCUGCUAUCUUUGUCCUGACGGGGGAGGAUAUUCACAGGAGACAGGCAGAGAAAUUGAUGUACAAGUGGAGCAGAAAAUAAACAAACUGGGCAGUGACACAAGGAUGAAAGGCACCUCUGGUUCUGGACAGAACUGGUGAUGGAAGAGAAGGGAGAAUUUAUUGCUUUUGAAGAAGAAUCUUUGAGAGCAAAGCAAAGAGGACGUCCUAAGGAAUAACGAAGGCAGGGAGAGGUAUUGUACUCUCCCAGCAACAGAGUAACAGUGGAUGCCAACCAGAGUCCUAUGUAGAGCUAUGACUGAAAUAUUCCUUUAGCACUCAACCUGAUUCUUAAAUUGAAUUAGCUGCAUGAUAGGAGCCUCUGAGGAAGGAAUUUCUUCUAAGGGAGAAGAGUAACGGCGUCAAAGGAAAAUGGCUAUAAAGUUGUUACCCUUACAAGUUCCUGGAACGAUAGUAAAACACCAGAGUGCCGAACACUGGAGAAAUACAACCAAAUAUCAGGCAAGAGGUGCUGGCGUCUGACCUUGGCUGCAGACUGCUUCCCCACCCUGCUCCCCGACCCCAUGUCCUCCAAUAUUCUGGGCAGACAGCUUCCUUCUCUCAGUGUUGCUGCUUCUGGGUCUACAUUUCCUCCUUCUGUCACCUUCUUCCCUCAGCCAUUAAGGAGCCUAACACCGCCCACCCAUUAAAGAUGAUGGCGCCUCGGUGGGUUAAGAAUCCGCCUGCCGAUGCAGGGGACACGGGUUCGAGCCUGGUCCGGGAAGAUCCCACAUGCU